CCUCUGUGAAGCCUGAACUCCAGUAGGGCCCAAGCCAGCCAGGAAGGAGGAGGCAGCCAGAGUGGCCACCACUGUUCUUUGCAGCAGAAGACCCCCUGCUGCCAGGAUCCUACCAUAAUGCAACAAGCAGGGUGAUGAGGGCACUUUCCAGAUUAGACACUACAACAGUGACACUACGUAUCCAAUAAGUGUGCUUCUGAACUACCUGUUUUGACGUCGCAAUCCCUGCACUGUCAGCAAGCAUUUCCUGUGUUCCUGGAGAUCAGCACAGAACACUGUAGUUGUGACUUUCUUACAGACCAGCUGAAUACAAUAUACUUUGUGGUUAAAGACCAAUGUGUGAUAACACAAGACAGAUCACAAGAAAAGGCAGUAGAAACCAGGGCUGGGCAGACAGUAAUGCAGCCACUGCUAAACAGGGCUGCCAGCUUGCAACGCAGAGAAAGUGCCAAUGCCUUUACAUUUCCUGAUGCAGUAGGUGUUACAGCAAUGGUGGCUGGUUUUGCCCAUUCCUCCUCAGGUUGUGCCCCCUGCCAUGUAGUGCACUACAUGCAUUACAACAGGUAAGAGAGCAGGCAACAGAGCCAAGGAGUUAGUGGGUUGCCAACUCUAACUGCAAUUAUUCCUCGAAAAUACACACACACACACACACACACUACACACUUUCCCAUUAUUAUUCACAAUAUCUAUCCAUUAAUGUCUUCAAGAUCUCUUUCAGUUGUCACCUGGAGAUUGAUGCUGAUUCCGGGAGACUCCAAGCCAAUCCUCGAGGGCUUCGCAGCCCUCGGGGAAGAAUCCAUGGCAGAAGCCACAAGUGCCAGUGCAAGAAAUAGGCUUGCUGACGAGGGACUUUUAUAGAGGACAUGUGACUAUUUUGGAAACCAAAUGACUUUUUUACAUUAGGAGGGAAAAUAACUUUUUUUUUUUUUUUUGGCAUUUGCUUUCACCCUUUCCUCUCUGUUUUUUACUUCCUUGCCACUUUCCUUAGCUGUUUUCAGCUGUAUGUGAGGAAAGCUAUGGGUUCCUCUCUUUUUUCUAGGUUUUUAAAUUUUAAACUUUUGCAGAAAUAUACAAAAUACAAAAAGCCCUACACUUAAUCCAUUUCAAAUAUUUUUAAAUACAAUUAUAAAAUAUGUUUCAACCUUUCAGAUCUUGUAUACACAGGUUGCUUGGCAUCAAUAAAAUUUAAAUGGGUUUUCAUAUAUUUUCCCCCAUGGGCUCAAAAGGAGAUUAGGGAAACAAUUUAGAUUAAAAUGCCCCCUCCCCACCUUACAUUGGUCUCCCAUCAAAGAUUGUAGCUGGGGUGGCUGAUAUAAAAAACUGAAUGGGAAACUCCAUGUGACUACUGUCAUGGCAUUUCAACUUAAGGGUAAGGAAUAUAUCAGCCCUUUACUGUGGGUUCAUCCCAUGAAGGGCUUGUUUUCUUUACAUAUAGAUGCUCCCAGCUGUGCUUUUUCUGGUUUUUGGACUAUUUUCUAAUAUUUGCUUGAAAGUUACUAUGGUGAUCGGGGAAUCACAGAUGGUAAGAGUUAGAAAUUAUGCCACUGGAGACAUUUAUCAUCAUGGCCCUCUAUAAUGUGAAUUCUUGUUCUCAGUGUUUUCUCCCAAGCCACUGGACACUCCUGUGUUUAUUUUAGUGGGGGGGGGGGGUACUGAUGGAAGUGCACAAGCCUGAUGCAAGAAAGAUGAAACUCUGACUUCCUCUUUAAUCAACAUGGCAUUUGGGACAUUUAAUAAGAUAGUAACGAACUGCACUUGGCCAUAUUUCUCUGAAUGUCAGAAUGAACUCAUGGUUGUCAGUCACUUUUAUAGGGAUAUACAGUAGAUGCAGAUUACAACAGAAACAGAUGCGAAUAAAAUGGAUAUAUUGAUUUGAAUAGAAAUAUAGAGAGAGAUAAUAGAAUAUAUAGAAUAUAGAUAUUGGAGAGAGAGAGAGAUUGGGAUAUAUAGAUUAAGAUAGAUAUAGAUUUAGAUUAGAAUACAUUAGAAUAGAUAUAGAUACAGGGAGAGGCACACAGAGACAGAGAGACACAUAUCUUUAUUCUGGCCAAUCGACUAUAAAAUGAAAUAAAUACAAAUCAAGGAAGUAAAUACUACUACAUGGGUUAAGAAAAGUAUUCACCAGGAACAAAGCAGGAACAAACUGGACAACCUAACUCAGAAAAGAACCAGAAGAAGCAAAUUGAAAAUUUGCUAUAGAAUGAGGUUAUCCUGAAUGUUUGUCACCAGAUCCAAAAUUCUGUGAUGUUUAAUAUUGUAACCUGGAUGAUAUCUCUCAGCAAGUAUGUCACAUAAGACCCCAUCAGAUUUCCAAGAAUUUGCUAUCAAAGGAGCUAUAUAUCUUUCCCUGGUUUCUCAUUAUAAUAGGCAAUACAACAUAACUCAUCAAUUACACAUUCAUCAUAAGCUUCAGUAUUAGAACCACAAGCUUUAAUCAGUAGGAUGUGAAGCAAAGCAACAUUUGCCACAUUACCUCAGACAUCACAAUGCUUUGGGCUGUCCCUGAUAGCCACAUACUGUGGCCUAAUAAGAGCAUCACAACCCACCCACCCCAUCAUCACCAUCAUUUCUGGAAUCUCAGCAGACAGCAGAACAGGGGUGCAUAUAAGAGUGUACUUAAAAAAAUUUUUUACAAAUGUACUUAUUUCCAACUAUAUGUGCCAUUUUUUGACUAUCCAGUCCCCAAUGCUGUUUAUAUCAAACUAAAAUAAUUUUUUAAAAUCAAUAUUGUC